rnacentral:rRNA from 1 species
GACGAACGCUGGCGGCGUGCUUAACACAUGCAAGUCGAACGGACAGACAGAGAGCUUGCUCUCUUGAAGUUAGUGGCGAACGGGUGAGUAACGCGUAAUCAACCUGCCCUUCAGAGGGGGAUAACAACGGGAAACCGUUGCUAAUACCGCGUACGAUUCAUGAACGGCAUCGUUUAUGAAUGAAAGGUGGCCUCUAUGUAUAAGCUAUCGCUGAAGGAGGGGAUUGCGUCUGAUUAGCUAGUUGGAGGGGUAACGGCCCAACAAGGCAAUGAUCAGUAGCCGGUCUGAGAGGAUGAACGGCCACAUUGGGACUGAGACACGGCCCAAACUCCUACGGGAGGCAGCAGUGGGGAAUCUUCCGCAAUGGACGAAGGUCUGACGGAGCAACGCCGCGUGAGUGAUGAAGGUCUUCGGAUUGUAAAGCUCUGUUAAUCGGGACGAAAGAGUUCUGCGUGAAUAAUGCAGAAAAGUGACGGUACCGGAAUAGAAAGCCACGGCUAACUACGUGCCAGCAGCCGCGGUAA